CCUACGGGUUGCAGCAGUGGGGAAUAUUGCACAAUGGGCGGAAGCCUGAUGCAGCGACGCCGCGUGGGGGAUGACGGCCUUCGGGUUGUAAACUCCUUUCGACAGGGACGAAGCUUUUUGUGACGGUACCUGUAUAAGAAGCACCGGCUAACUACGUGCCAGCAGCCGCGGUAAUACGUAGGGUGCGAGCGUUGUCCGGAAUUACUGGGCGUAAAGAGCUCGUAGGUGGUUUGUCGCGUCGUCUGUGAAAUUCCGGGGCUUAACUCCGGGCGUGCAGGCGAUACGGGCAUAACUUGAGUGCUGUAGGGGAGACUGGAAUUCCUGGUGUAGCGGUGAAAUGCGCAGAUAUCAGGAGGAACACCGAUGGCGAAGGCAGGUCUCUGGGCAGUUACUGACGCUGAGGAGCGAAAGCAUGGGUAGCGAACAGGAUUAGAUACCCGUGUAGUC
rnacentral:rRNA from 1 species